GAAAUCUUCAUCCACUUAACAGUUCCCCCACUCUUGUGCUGUAUCUCAUGCACUAAACAACCACAAUCUAGUUUAACCAGAUGCUAGAUGCACAGAUAUAGCACUACAGUCUGGUGUUGUGCUGUUAGCGCUGACCCUCAGUAUGGCUUCUUACUCUGACAGCCAGGGGCCGUGAGGGGCCGUUAAGGGCCAUGUGGGCCUGGUUGCAGCUGCUCCAUCUCCUUGCCCACUCAGCAGGCACACUGUGCCCUUUGAGCCCACCUGCCAUUCAAUCCAGCACAGAUGUGCCCUCAGCUGUUCUCAGUGCCAUUACUGCUCCCUGCACUUUUUAUCCUGCACCUCGGAGACCCCAAACUGCCAAACGAGGUGAAUUAUGGCCAGUUAUAAGGAGUGGACUCUGAGCCACGGGGGACAGGACAUAGUCAGAAGAACUAACCACAGUUCUGACCAUUAAAAGCCAGCCUGACACUGGCCCUUCAUCUUACCUCCUCCACGAGACGAGU
ensembl:lncRNA